ensembl:lncRNA
AUGACUGACAUUUGUUUGUGUGUGGCCCUGAUCCUCUUCCUCUUUGCACAGAUAUCAAGCACGGAGCUUUGCUAUAGUUGACGUCAGUGGCAUUUUAUCAGCCAAAGAGCAGACAGAAGUGCAGGUACAGCUGACAGAGGAGGCAGGUUGUGCGAGCAAAAAUAUGCAUUUGCUGUUACCAAAAUGGAACUUAUGCUUGUCUCUUUGCAGCUAUAGUCCUUUGAAGCAUUACAGAACCCUGUGAUAACCUAGAUGUUAGAGACGGUAUAAUCACUUAGAGAGUUAAUGUGCAUAAACACAUAUAAAAUGAUUGUUUGCAUUAUUCCUGCACAGUCUUUGUACUGUAUUACUGCAUAAAUCAGAUCUAUUUUACUUUCAUUUGCUAAUCCUUCUACUCUUUUGGGAGCAUCUCAGUGAAUGAAUACACAUUCCAUAUCCUUACAGCCUUAAAAACAAAUGUAUGUUCACAGAUACAUCUUCGAGAAUUUUUUUGCCACAAAGCAUAUUAUUCAAUGUAAUUAUGUAAGAUGCAUGACAAAUCUGAGUGCAAAGGGGCGUGUCAGACAGCAAGUCUUAACAGGAAAACUCAAAGCUUACACAUAGGUCCUGUACUUCUUUGGUGGCAGCUGCAGUCCUCUGAAGGUCAUAAUCCGUCCUGUCUUGCUCCUGCUGGUACCCAAGAGCAUAUGGCAGCCUUUGCAUGGAUGAGACAGUCACAAGUCAUCCCCAUGCAGAAACCAGGAGAAAAAUCAGCAGGAUCAUUUGGAGCAUAUGGAUCCAACGAGGCUUGAAACCUGCCUGAGUGGAGGAGUACGGCAUGCUCAGCUGGUAGCAAACGGCUGUAUUUCUCAGAGAGGAUGAUCCUGCGAAAAGUGGGGUGGAAACUGGUGGCUCCCAGAGGGUUAAGGCUCAUGCUAGCUGGAAGUGAAGGCUACUUUAUAUAGUGAGAGGACAACCCAGAGGGAGUAUGUGAGAUGCUGCCUCAGUAUUAAGCAAUAAUUUAGCAGCCUCCUGUGGGGAAAAAUCCGUGUCACAUUAGGGAGAAGCUGCAUGGCAGACAAGAGAUGUGUUUACAAAUAUUUUUCCUUUGAUUAUUUAGAGACUUCUUGCAAAGCCACAUUGUACUUUGCUUUGGACACCACAGCAGACAAACACCGACUCAAAGGGUUCAUAAAACGCUAAAAGGGGCACGAAGCACACAUGGAAGUUCUUCUUGCAAGGCCAAAAUCCAAUGGCAGAUACAAAGUAUGUACAUAGUUUUCUUUCAUGAUAACAUAGUCCUGUCUGUGUUGGUUAUCAUGCACCCAGAGAGCUGCCUCGCAGGCACGCUGCAUCUUUUUGCCAGCCUUUGACUACAUUUAGCAUGUAGAACUGGUUCUGUACAGGCACACGUUAUAGAGGCACCAGCCCUCACCAUAUAGAACAGUUUGACAGUUCUUACUUGCUGCACUAAGGUCAGCCAUGGCUCUCUGUACAUAUUUGUAUUUCAAUCCUGGCCCAGCAGCCUUGCAGAUGGAUGCAGAGCUCACGUAUGGCAUGGACACCAGCGGUGCUGGGGAGGAGGGACUCUGUGGUGUCCAAAAGUGAUUAGCUUUACUUCCAAAAGGGGAAUUCAGAGAGAAAAUGCAUUGCAGCACUUGGUCCUGGCACUAGCUGUAAUGUAGAUGUCUGUCUGAUGGGCACUGGUCUAAGACCAACAAAAUGCGAUUCAUACAGGCCACUGAGCAGCUUCUCAUGUUAAUGACUUUUGAAUGCCAGUGGCCUGAAUUGCAUCUGUAUUUUAUUAACACUGUUUACAGAGGGAGUAGAAUUCCAGAUGGAGCAUAAAGUACCUUUUUUCUUGUUCUUCCCAUAAUUGCAAAUGCUCAAAUUGCACUUGUAGCUGUUUUAUGACUUGAUAUUGACCUUACACUCUUUGCAUUUUCUACAGCGGAACACUGCAAUUUCUAGGGAGUAGAAAGGUUAUACAGAACUGGUCAAUGCUCUGUGUGAUGCAAAUAAAAAUAAAGUUGUGAGUGUUUAAGCAAGUAUUUCUUUCCAUUUGGCCUUUGAAUUUUUAUUGCUUCCAGCCAGGUCACUUGAAAUGAAAUUGUCCUUCACAGUUCAAGCUAUGGUUGCCUUACAGAUGGCAUAAAGACAGUGCUUUAAGGUCAUUAGAGCCCUGAAGAUGUUAGAGCAGUCCAGAUGAUUUGCAUCUCUAAGGGAAAGGCUUUUAUUUCUGAACUGUUCACCUAAUACUGAUUUGAAAAUGUACCUUUUUCUUCUUCUUCUCAUGAAAACGCCUGUGCCAAGAAUUAGAAAAAGCCUUACUUACAGCCUUGAUGCGUCACCUCUCCAGCAGCUCCCUGACCUGCUGCACUUUGGGUGGCAAUGAUGGCAAAGAAAGAAAGGAGCACUUUGGGCCUCGGAGCUACCAUCGAUCUCAGACAAGGUGAGGGGAAGGAGGCGGGUGCCUCAGCUCCAGAUCCGGGACCAGAUGCACCAUCUGCUUUGUACUGCACUAUCCUGAUGGGAAGACAGCCAUUUCCACUGACAGCUCUGGAGUGGAGGAGACUUUUUCCACUUUCCUGCUUGCUCCUAGUGGGGAAUGCUGUGCAGCCUCCUGGAAGUUGGAAUGCUUAUUGCGUGUGUUACUGAUGCUCCUGCACGUCCCCUGUCAGGGAAUCCGCGCAAUGCUUCUCAGAAAUAAUUUGUUUCUGCGCUGGAUCUACUUUUGCACAACGGGGAUACUUGCCUCUAUCAAACCGGUGGUCGAAAUCCGAGGUCGGCGCGUGCAGGAGGAGAGUGAACUUCCCGGGGAUGCCUUUAGAUGUCUCCCUUCCUCGUCUGUUCGGCGAUGACAGCAGGGGCUGGGCUGCCUGCGGGUUGGGCUGCAGAGCAGUCAGAUUGCCUCGGAGGGUAAACGAGGAUUUUUGAAAACCUUCUAAAGCAAAAGUUAAUGGAAAAGAGAGCCUCGUUGCUCACAGAUACGUCAUUACUUUCUCAGGCGUUUAUGAACAAAUAAAAUGCAUCUACUACAUGGGAGAAGAGUUCUUCCCCUGUGCCCCACGCUCCAGCCCUACCCCCAAGCAAUUGUCUUACUUAUUACAAUUUCAACAUCUCUUCUCUUUGAAGUACAACCUGUUGUUUCGUUAUAUUAUUUCCAUUCAUGCUGUGGAAAUAAAACUUACGACAGUGUCGAUUUCUCAGAUCCGCUUGUAGACUUGGAAAUUUGCAUCAGAUUAUUCUAAUCACUUAGCCUUGUUGUAUAUAUUUACACAAGCACUUUUGAUGUUUAAACAGACCAGGCUGUAAUGAGAUAGGCGCGGGGAAAUAAAUACCCCAAAGAAAAGGAAUGUUCUCUUUUUUUCAGGCCGCUUCCUAAACUAGAAAUGUUCAGCUAAAACAGUGGGUCAGUGCCUUUGGGACCUGAGGGAAUGACUCUAAGGGUGGAAGCACGGAGGGAUGGAUCUGCCUUCAGAUGCACUGGGCAGAGAGAAGAGCACCUGGGUGCCUGUGAGGGUGAGGAGCGUGCUGAGGACUUGUCCUUCUGUGCCCUUUGUUACAGCUGUAAGCCGCCUCCUUGGCCAUCCUGGCACAAGAAACUAUCCCACAUGAACCCUAGAUGUCAAUAUGCAUUGACACAAGUUUCUAGAGGCUGAGCAGGAAGAGGAUCAGCUCCACUGAUUUCAGUGGCAACAGUUGCAGAAACAGCAAAAAGUCCUGGGACUGACUGUGGUGCAAUUGUGCUGGCUCAGCUCCAGACAUGCAGGAAGUCCUGCAGCAUUGUGUUCCUGCAGGCAGGAGGCCUGGUAAGCACAGCAGCCACGCAAUCAGGUUAACUCAGUCUUGAGGCCGGCUCCAUUAGAUCAAGAACAACAGGCAAACAGAAGCAGCCCAUACAUAGCAAAUGUAGAAAAAGGUGGAGAAGUAGACCAGGUGAAGGAGAGACAGGAAUCUUAUGGACUGAAGAAGACAAGAAAUCUUACCCUAAGAUGCAGGAAAUUGCCAAUUGUUUCAUUUACAGUUUAGCUUCACAAAGGCCAGGGGAUCGUAUUUACAUUUGCAUGAUAGAACACAAAGAAUACUUGCAAUUCUUGAAAUAGCAGAAAGGGGGAACAUUCUGGAUGACCCUGUUGUUAACGUAGUCUUGAAGUGGAAUCUGGAACAAAUCAGCCAUUACACAAUAAACCACUCAAAAGACUACAAAAAACUGCGUGUCAGCACAGUUUUAAUUUUGUAACGGGAGUUAGUGAAGUUUGUGUGUAAGAACUUAAAGAAAGAAAAAGAGAAGCUUGUUCUGAGAAGAUGCACUUCCAUAAACUCAGUGACAGAUGAGAGCAGACUUUGUAACUCUCACACUGAAAGUGAUCUAUCCACUUAGACAUGCAAAUGUCAUUUUGAAUAAGUCUAACAUUUUGAAUUGUCAACGGUGGGAAGAGGUUUCUCUAAAGGCAAGUUGUAUUCUUCAGUUAUCCUAAGCUUGUAAACCAUGUAGAACCAAGGGGGAAAAAAAAGAACAAAAUUGAAAGAUUCUGCUUUACUAGCAUUUGGUGACUGAAAGAUUCCGCUUUACUAGCAUUUGGUGACUGAAAGAGCUCAUUAAGAUAACAUUUUCCACUUUAUAACCGCUUCACAAGCAAAUAUUCCUGGCAGCACUGCUCCUCUCAUACUUAGGGAUACUUUAAAGAGGAUGGCCAGGACCUUUGCCUGGGCCAGAAGAGAAGCAAGCGCAUGGCCAGUGCUGGCUGGGCAGUCUCUGAGCACAUUCCUCUGCCCUCCAUGGAUGCAGCAGCAGUAACACCCCAGGGCUUUCAUUCUAGCUGACUUGUUUUGUCUUAUUCCUAACUUGCAAGUUAUAUGCCUUGUUGCACCGGUAACUUCAUGAGACUCUGUGACCCACUUGAAGCAUGGUCAGAGACUAAUGGUCCCUCUUCACCUUAAAGGACAUGCACUUGUGAAAUGAUCAGAAGUACCUGGAGAUUCACAACUUUUCUCCUUCACAGAAGUAUCCCAAGACAUAGAUAGCACACACAGUGGGAACCAUGUUAUUUUCCCUCAGCAGCAACUGAUUCAGCAGCACCAUCUUGACCUAUGCCAGCUACUGCUUCAGCUCCUUGCCUGUAGGAGAGAGACAAAUGGACUUUGAUAGCUAUCCAACAUGAGCAGAACUCUCCCAUGGUGGACAGGUUUGGAAUACUCCAGGUCUAACAAAAUGGGAGCUCCUAUCAGUUCCACCCUGAGGUCUCAUGGAUGCCUCGAGUAGCUUUGCAGCUCCAUUGUGACAUUACACCAAUUUUCCAUCAUGACCAGCAUGAUCCUACUUGGAUAUUCCAGGUGGUGCCCUGUCCCUACCUCCUAAGGGAUAGCUCAUGUCUGACAGCAAAAGCAGAUUUCAAUGAUGUUCUUGAUUUAAAUCCAGAAAACAACAUCUUGAUGAACUCAUGCUCCUGGUUAUUAGUAGAGACUACCAGAUUGCUGCACAUCAGGGAGGGGAACUGCAUUUUCCUUCUCAACUUCUUGUAACCUAAAGGAGUAGAAAGACUGCUUUAUGCUUAUGGUCGAUAGGGUGCACGGUGUGCACAGAGAAAUCACACUUCAUCUUGCAAAUUU